rnacentral:rRNA from 1 species
GUCCAUGGCCACACGAUCCUGAACGUGCCGAUCGCUUCUGAUCUUGGAAGCUAAGGAGGUCGGGCCUGGUUAGUACUUGUAUGGGAGACCACCUAAGAAAACUAGCUACUGUAGGCA